AAUGUGACCGUCGAGCGCACACACACAUACAAGCUGAUAUAUGUUCUUCAGAAAGACUAGUAAUAAUCUCCUUUCCUGCUAGAAGAUUUCUCUUUUCGAGGAAUUAUUCUGCAAGAGGAAUUCGCCAUGGCCGAUGCCAUCUUUUCUGCUUUUGUUAGUGAUAUGGUCAGUAGAGGGAUCUCAUUUGUAUUUGAGCAUUUUGGUCACCAACAAAGCACAGAAGCCAAGCUACAAAGGUUAUGCCACAUGCUCACCAGGGUCCACAGCGUCGUAGAGGAGGCUAAAGGAAGGCAGAUCACGAAUGAUGGCACCCUCCAGUGGCUCUCGGAGCUCAUUGAUGGUGAGUUCCAGGGGCGGUAUUUGCUUGACACAAUCAGAAGCGGUGAGCACGAUAUUGAAGAAGAUGAGCACGAUGGCGACAAGGUAGCUCCUCCCCGAGCUUUCUCCAUAUCUGUGCUUAAUCCUUUGAAGCGUGUGCGGAUUGCUACCAAGGACGUCUUGUUACAAAAUGAUGGCGGAGUUGAUGAGAUCCACAGGGUUCUUGAGAGCUUGCAGGGCAUAUCCGGUGAUCUCAAGGAGUUCAUCAUGCUCAUGCAAAACUGCCAACCAAUCGGACGGCCGCUACCAACAAACAUCUUUGUUGAUGGACAGAUGUUUGGUCGCCAUGUUGAGAAGGAGAGGAUCAUCAACUUCCUCCUCCAUGACGGGGGUGGGUCAAUUGGAAAGUUGGGUGUGCUAGCUAUAGUUGGUGACAUCGGAGUGAGAAAGACAACCUUGGUGCAGCAUGCUUGCGAUGAUGCUAGGGUGCGCAACUAUUUCCCGGUGAUCAUACUGUGCUGUACAUAUGCCAUAGCGGCGAAUGGUGGAACCGUUGUUCUACAGUCCAAACAUGUCAUCGGAGGUGCAGAUAUGAACUGGAAUGACCCAGUGCAGUUAGAUAAUGGGAGCUUUGGCAACAAGAGGUUCCUAAUGGUAUUUGAGGACAUGGAUAUGCAUAAGAAGAAGAUGUUGGAAGGGCUCCUACCAGUCCUGAGAAGGGAAUGCAAGGAGGGGAGCAAGGUAAUCAUCACAACCAAAAAUCCGAGGGUCGCAACCAUUGGAACCGUGGAGCCGAUCAUACUCAAGGCCUUGCCCUUCCCGGAGUACUGGUUCUUCUUCAAGGCUCAUGCCUUCGCAGGCAGAGAUGUUGAGGAAAACCCAAGGCUUGUAGCACUCGGCAAAGCGAUUGCGAGGAAACUAAAUGGGUCAUUCUUUGGUGCAAAGAUUGUCGGAGGUGUCCUAAGGGAUUAUCCAAAUCAUAUGGAUGGUGUAAGGUCUUGAGAAGCAACAUUGAAGGCUUGUCUCUGCUGGGUGAUGGCAUUGGUUACAUUGCAGAUUUGGCUGGGAACUUGCUUCCGAGUCAUGUGGACAUGUUCCUGGUGACAAUUUUUACUGACACCUUGGCUUCUCAUAGUGAUUUCACAACGUUAAAAGAUCUGUCUGGGGGCCAUGGCAGUGAGGCCUGCUUGGCAGCAGAAAACAUAAACUUAAAACCUACAAUGGCAGAUGCCAUCAUCUCUGCCAUCAUAGGCGAUGUUGUCAGUAGAGCGAUUUCUCUUCUCGUUGGGCGCUUUAGCAACCAAGAAAGCACUGAAGACAAGCUGCAAAGGAUAAGCCAUCUGCUCAUCAGAAUCCACAGCGUGGUAGAGGAAGCAAAAGGGCGGCAGAUCUCCAACCACGGCACCUUCCAGUGGCUCUCGGAGCUCAUCAACAGUGAGUACCAGGGCUUUUACUUGCUCGAUUCCAUCAGGUGUGGAAACCAGGAGGCUGAGCGAUGUGACCAUAAGGUAAAUCCCCAAGUUUCCACCUUGUCCUUGUUUAACCCUGCAAAGCGUGUGAGGGUUGCUGGGUGCACCAUGAGGAGCUCAUACUCCUGGCACCAUGAUCUCAGUGUUGAUGAGAUUAACAGGGUGCUCAAGAGAUUGCAAGGCAUGUCUUGUGAUCUCAUGGAGUUCAUCAUGCUCUUGCAAAACUGCCAGCCAAUCCGCCGGCCUCUAGGCACUAACAUCUUCCGUGAAGGGCAGAUGUUCGGUCGGCAUGUUGAGAAAGAGAGGAUAAUCAACUUUCUGUUGCAUGAGGAUGAUCAGUCAACAGGGGAAUUGGGUGUGCUACCAAUUGUUGGCGGCAAUGGAGUUGGGAAGACAACCCUGGUGCAACACGCCUGCGAUGAUGCCAGAGUGCGCAACCACUUCCCGGUGAUCUUGAUGUACUCUUGUAUCUAUGACAUUAAAAAGAGCGAAGGAACUCCAAAUGACCCACUGGGGUAUGUCAAGAGGAAUAGUUUUUGUGACAAGAGGUGCCUGAUGGUUUUUGAGGAUGUUGACAUGCAUAGGAAGCAGAUACUCGAGGAGUUCCUGCAGAGCCUGAGAUGCAGCAAGGAAGGGAGCAAGAUAAUCAUCACGACUAUCAGUCAGCGUAUUGCAAACAUUGGAACAGUGGAGCCAAUCAUACUAACCGCAUUGCCCUGCCCUGAGUACUGGUUCUUCUUCAAGGCGCAUGCAUUUGCAGGUAGAGACGUGGAAGAUAGCCCAAGGCUGAUGGCUGCAGGGAAAGAAAUAGCAAGGAAGCUGAACGGGUCAUUCAUUGGUGCGAAGAUGGUUGGAGGUGUGCUUAGGGACCACCCGGAUCCAAAGUUCUGGUGCAACGUCCUGAGGAGCAACAUUGGGGGGAUGUAUCAGAUCGGUGGUGUCAUCAGCUACAUAUCGGACAUAGCUGGAAACUUGCUACCAGGUCAUGUGGACAUGUGCAGGGUGACCAUUUCUAAGGACCCGUUUCCUCCUGAGACGACAGAGUUGGCCAGGUUCAAGGAUCUGUGCCAUACUGUUCCAAAUGGAAGCAUGAUGGCAUGUUUGGCAGAUGACAUCCAAUUUGCGAAAGUGUUGUUGUGCAAGUCAGUGUUUCCGUUCUUUAAUGAGCACUAUAUUGCUCAUUGCUCUUACACUUGCACCGUAGGCUCUUGUUCAACUCUCGAACUCUCUCUUCCAUCUACAGUUGAGAGAGGCGAAAGGGAGGCGAUUCGUGCUCCCGCCGGCGAGGUCGCCGUUCCCCUUCGCCUCCGGCGGCUGUUGAGCCCUUGGAUGUGAGUGGGAACGGUGGCUCUCGUUCGAGCGGUGUAGAUUAGGUACUAGCUUGUCUAAGGUCUGGUGUCCAGUGGCGACGUCAAGGCGGCGGCGGCGGCGGCGGCGGCAAGGAAUAAGGUUCUCCCGGUCUCUUCCUCGCCCCGAUGGUGCUCCGCUCCGGCGCCGUCGGCGAGGCUGUGGAGGAGGGGCGUCCAGCGUGAAGCCCCAGUUCAGGAGCCGUCUGCUAGUGGCUCGUCGUUUGGUGAGUUCGCUGGCUUCUGUUGUCGAGGAUGGAGCGACAGCUCAGGGUCCUGUGGUUCUUGGGAGAGUGGAUCUACGCUCGGUUGUCCUGUGGCGGCAGGUCCCGUCGCCGGCGAGUCUGGAUCCAGGGGCGCUGGUGCUCGGGGCAUGUCCCCGGGCGAUGCUUUCUCAGCGUUUGCUUCAUCUUGCUCUUCGGUGCGAGUGUCUACUACGGCUCUUUCAAAGCCUCGCGGCGAUGGGGCUCCAGUUGUCCUGCAGUUGGCGGAGUUUGGCCUCCGGCGAUGGUCGGCGGCGACGGACUUCAGUGGAUUCGGCUUGCACUGGGUCAAGGGACUUGGUUGUAAUUGUUUUGUUUUCAGGGGCCUGUGUGCUAGUUUGCCGUAUCAGCUGUGCUCUGUAUCCUUCCUUGGUGUACCUGUAUUUGUACUGUCCUUAACGUAUAAUACAGGUAUGUCUUGAA